GACGAACGCUGGCGGCGUGCCUAAUACAUGCAAGUUGAGCGAUGAAGAUUGGUGCUUGCACCAAUUUGAAGAGCAGCGAACGGGUGAGUAACGCGUGGGGAAUCUGCCUUUGAGCGGGGGACAACAUUUGGAAACGAAUGCUAAUACCGCAUAACAACUUUAAACAUAAGUUUUAAGUUUGAAAGAUGCAAUUGCAUCACUCAAAGAUGAUCCCGCGUUGUAUUAGCUAGUUGGUGAGGUAAAGGCUCACCAAGGCGAUGAUACAUAGCCGACCUGAGAGGGGGAUCGGCCACAUUGGGACUGAGACACGGCCCAAACUCCUACGGGAGGCAGCAGUAGGGAAUCUUCGGCAAUGGACGAAAGUCUGACCGAGCAACGCCGCGUGAGGGAAGAAGGUUUUCGGAUCGUAAAACUCUGUUGGUAGAGAAGAACGUUGGUGAGAGUGGAAAGCUCAUCAAGUGACGGUAACUACCCAGAAAGGGACGGCUAACUACGUA
rnacentral:rRNA from 1 species